GUUUUUGUAAUCAGCAAAGGCAUCUGUUAUGCUCCUGCCACCUUUUGGGGGAGAGUGGGUGGAGGAUGUUGUGAUUUUACACUAGGGAGUUUGGGCUGUCAUUCAUUCGUUCAGCAGACCUUUUUUGGGCACUCUGCCAGGCAGGGUAGGAGAGGUGCCUGGAUGGAUAGGGCAUAAUUGGGCCAGACAGACACGGUUCUUAGCCUUUUGGAGCUUAAAGUGUCUUGAGAAACGCAGACAGGGUAAGCCAGCAUCGUGCCUGACACAGAGUAAGUGGUUAUAAGUGUCGAAUAAAGGAAUGAAUUGACUUAUUUGGGAAUGAUUAGAAUGUGAGCAGGACGGUAGCGAGAGACUUUAUGCUGCAUGUGAGAGAUAGUUGUGAACUCAUGCGCGAUAUGUUUUAAGACAGGUUUGGAAAUCUGAACGGACAGUUGCUAUUUAGGGAAGCAUUUACUUAUACAGAGGACUUGCUUUAAAGGUGGAAGUAAAAUGGAGAAGUAUUAGGUUUGGGAUUCUUCAGAGGUGCCUCUUUUAACUAUUACUAUGUCUCUGAAUUUCAUAAAUCCCUGAGUACAAUCUCAGAGUUUGGGAAAAGGAAAGCUCUUCUAGGUAAUGAAAUGCCAGGCUGAUGGGAAAAAACUGUAGGAAGCUCUCCCUAAGUCCAGGGUUUGGACAGAAACCGUAUACCUCUGCAGUGUGUUCUUCCCACUAGAAAGAGUGUAGGCUUUGAAAUUGGAGAGGCCUGGGUUCAAAAUCAGUGGCUCUAUCACUUCUAGUGAUCUUGGAUAAGUUAACAUAAUGUCUGUGAGCCUUUGUGGCCUUCACAAGAGUCUGGGCUAAUAAUUCCUACAUCAUAGAGGUGUUAUGAGGAUCAAAUGAUGAUUAGUGUGUAAAUUGUCAUCAUAGUGCCUGGUGCUGAGACAAUAAGCGGGGGAGUCUUGGAGAUGCUGCAAUUUUUUUUUUUUUUUUAAAUUUCAUGAUGCUGCCUUAUUGCAGGGGUCCUUAACCCCCUGGGCCACAGACCAGUGGUGGUCUUCAGCCCAUUAGAAACUGGGCUGCACAGCAGGAGAUGUCAUGUGGCCUGUGUUUUGGACCGUGGUUCGUACCUAUGCUCCUUAUGUCACAUUCCCUGUUGCCUUCGUGGUCGGGGCUGUGGGUUACCACCUGGAAUGGUUCAUCAGGGGAAAGGACCCCCAGCCCGUGGAGGAGGAAAAGAGCAUCUCAGAGCGCCGGGAGGAUCGCAAGCUGGAUGAGCUUCUAGGCAAGGACCACACGCAGGUGGUGAGCCUUAAGGACAAGCUAGAAUUUGCCCCGAAAGCUGUGCUGAACAGAAACCGCCCAGAGAAGAAUUAAUGGAGGACACAGGGCCCUAUGGUCCUACUGUGGGUGGUGACUUGUCCUGCUACCAUGUUGACAGAGCCCCAGAACCCACAUCUAAUUGGCUUUGUUGCUUAUUCUGGCCCUUCCCACACCACACAGCCACACAAAUACUGGCUGCUCCUUGAUGGCCAGGCAGACCCAGCAGCAGCCGAGGGGCCAGUGAAGAGGAAGGCCGCAUCUGUUGUGUGGUGGCCACAAGCACUCAGGCAUCUGAGUUUACUGGUGCACUGCUGGGAGGAGAGUUAUGAGAUGAACAUUGGCUGUCAAUCUCUGUGGGCAGGCGGUUUGGCCUCUAGUGGGAAUGGCUGGGAUUUGGGCGUUGC
rnacentral:lncRNA from 10 species